CUCAGGCUGGACAGGUUCCCCAGCCUGCUCUUGUGCUUUCUUUUCCCUAAGUGGCUAAUUGAGGUGUGAAAGGGUCUGUUGUGAAUUGGUAAUGGGGCACUAAGGGCAAAGGGUUGGCACUGAGCAGAUCCCCCAGGGAGCUGAAAGGCCAGGGGUGGGACUUGAACCAGCUCCCGAACAGAAGUCUCCAACUGCUGGAGAAACAGCCCCAAACAAAGAGAUGCCCAUUUUUCUGCCUGAGACCACUGCCUGGAACCUCCAUGUCCUUACCCAAGAGCCCUGACUCCAGUGCCAACCUGUUUUGGGGUAUCUGCCUUCCACCUCCUUAUCCAUGGAACAAGCCAAGCUACUCUAAGACUCUGGAUCCUUCCUGCAGACACCCAUCCAUGCCCCGCCUAGCCAGUGCCUCACCUUCAUACCCUGAUAUGCCAAUCAUGCUCAGCAUCUCUGUAGCCCA
rnacentral:lncRNA from 1 species